CAGAGUGCUACAGUCCGACAAUCAGGACUUACAAUAAUGAAAUGCAGGCAUGCUUUAAAAGGGUUUCAUGGGAACGGGUGUUAAGAGAAUUUUUUUUUUUUUGCUUUACCUUAAAAGUCAUUAUUACAGCUUUAAAAUUGGCCAGGAAAAUGAAGUCUUUUCUCUUUAAAGGUAUAAAAGAGUUCGUUUUGCUCAUGGACUAAAUUAUUACUCUUACCUCUGAAUUUCUCUUGCUGGUUGUAGAUAUUUACUUAAUGUAGUUUUGCUUAAAUAUGUGGAAUUAGUUAUUUUUUUUUGUGUCUAUAUAUAAUGUUACCGUUGGUAACGCAUGACAAGCACACAGAAAUUCCCCCUCGAGAAAGAAAUAGUCACUUUUUCCUCACUAAUUUCACUGAAAAGUACAUAUCCUGAACAUGAGAUGGACUUUCUGAGCCAGAGUCUGAGAUUGCAAGGGAGAACGUGUCUUCCUUUAUACUGUGAAGUUAUAUGCAUUAAAGGGUCAAACAUAUGGGUGAAAAAAAAUUAAAAAAGAGAAAAAAAGAAAGAAGGGGAAAAGCUAUAAAUACAGAUAUGGAUAAAUGUCUAUUAUUAUUAAAAUGCCGAUACUGUUUUAAGCAAAUGCAUUAUAUUGUUAUUAUAAAUGUUAGUUCUAGCUAUAUCUAGUUCUUACCUUAAAUCGGAAUAAAUUAAUAUUGUAAUGCUGCUGUGCGUGAAAAAGACGAUGUUUAUGUUCUCAUAGAAGAAUAAAAAAACGUGGAAUGAAUCCUUUUAAUUUUA